CCCUUAGAUGUUCUGGGCUGCACGCGCGCUACACUGAUGCACUCAACGAGUUUACAACCUUAUCCGGAAGGAUUGGGUAAUCUUUUGAACGUGAAUCGUGAUGGGGAUAGAUGAUUGCAAUUAUUCAUCUUCAACGAGGAAUUCCUAGUAAACGCAAGUCAUCAGCUUGCAUUGAUUACGUCCCUGCCCUUUGUACACACCGCCCGUCGCACCUACCGAUUGAAUGGUCCGGUGAAAUCUUCGGAUCUGAGAGAUGUCUGAUUAAUUUCGGACGCCUUUUGGAAAGGUUGCUUAAACCUUACCAUUUAGAGGAAGGUGAAGUCGUAACA
rnacentral:rRNA from 1 species